AUACUAUGAUGAGGACACCUUUUGAGUUCUUUAAAUAUUUCCUAUGUAUCAUAGAAGCUCUCAUCUCUAAGUUGGUUGAAAGAUGUAAUCUCGUUCCUCAAAUU
rnacentral:snoRNA from 1 species